AGAGUUUGAUCCUGGCUCAGAUUGAACGCUAGCGGGAUGCCUUACACAUGCAAGUCGAACGGCAGCACGGACUUCGGUCUGGUGGCGAGUGGCGAACGGGUGAGUAAUGUAUCGGAACGUGCCCAGUAGCGGGGGAUAACUACGCGAAAGCGUAGCUAAUACCGCAUACGCCCUACGGGGGAAAGCAGGGGAUCGCAAGACCUUGCACUAUUGGAGCGGCCGAUAUCGGAUUAGCUAGUGGGUGGGGUAACGGCUCACCAAGGCGACGAUCCGUAGCUGGUUUGAGAGGACGACCAGCCACACUGGGACUGARACACGGCCCARACUCCUACGGGAGGCAGCAGUGGGGAAUUUUGGACAAUGGGGGAAACCCUGAUCCAGCCAUCCCGCGUGUGCGAUGAAGGCCUUCGGGUUGUAAAGCACUUUUGGCAGGAAAGAAACGUCAUGGGUUAAUACCCCGUGAAACUGACGGUACCUGCAGAAUAAGCACCGGCUAACUACGUGCCAGCAGCCGCGGUAAUACGUAGGGUGCAAGCGUUAAUCGGAAUUACUGGGCGUAAAGCGUGCGCAGGCGGUUCGGAAAGAAAGAUGUGAAAUCCCAGAGCUUAACUUUGGAACUGCAUUUUUAACUACCGGGCUAGAGUGUGUCAGAGGGAGGUGGAAUUCCGCGUGUAGCAGUGAAAUGCGUAGAUAUGCGGAGGAACACCGAUGGCGAAGGCAGCCUCCUGGGAUAACACUGACGCUCAUGCACGAAAGCGUGGGGAGCAAACAGGAUUAGAUACCCUGGUAGUCCACGCCCUAAACGAUGUCAACUAGCUGUUGGGGCCUUCGGGCCUUGGUAGCGCAGCUAACGCGUGAAGUUGACCGCCUGGGGAGUACGGUCGCAAGAUUAAAACUCAAAGGAAUUGACGGGGACCCGCACCAAGCGGUGGAUGAUGUGGAUUAAUUCGAUGCCAACGCGAAAAACCUUACCUACCCUUGACAUGUCUGGAAUGCCGAAGAGAUUUGGCAGUGCUCGCAAGAGAACCGGAACACAGGUGCUGCAUGGCUGUCGUCAGCUCGUGUCGUGAGAUGUUGGGUUAAGUCCCGCAACGAGCGCAACCCUUGUCAUUAGUUGCUACGAAAGGGCACUCUAAUGAGACUGCCGGUGACAAACCGGAGGAAGGUGGGGAUGACGUCAAGUCCUCAUGGCCCUUAUGGGUAGGGCUUCACACGUCAUACAAUGGUCGGGACAGAGGGUCGCCAACCCGCGAGGGGGAGCCAAUCCCAGAAACCCGAUCGUAGUCCGGAUCGCAGUCUGCAACUCGACUGCGUGAAGUCGGAAUCGCUAGUAAUCGCGGAUCAGCAUGUCGCGGUGAAUACGUUCCCGGGUCUUGUACACACCGCCCGUCACACCAUGGGAGUGGGUUUUACCAGAAGUAGUUAGCCUAACCGCAAGGGGGGCGAUUACCACGGUAGGAUUCAUGACUGGGGUGAAGUCGUAACAAGG
rnacentral:rRNA from 1 species